UACGGGGGGGGGCAAGCGUUGUUCGGAAUUACUGGGCGUAAAGGGCUCGUAGGCGGCCAACUAAGUCGGAUGUGAAAUCCCCCAGGCUCAACCUGGGAACCGCGCUUGAGACUGGCACGCUCGAGUUCGGGAGAGGAUGGUGGAAUUCCCAGUGUAGAGGUGAAAUUCGUAGAUAUCUGGAGGAACACCGGUGGCGAAGGCGGCAU
rnacentral:rRNA from 1 species